CUGCUUUAGCAGCGUAUAUAUUAAAAUUGGAACAAUACAGAGAAGAUUAGCAUGACCUCUGCGCAAGGAUGAUGCCCAAAACCGUGAAGCAUUGCACAUUAAU
rnacentral:snRNA from 1 species